AACAAAUUACUUGGACUUUAUUUUGUAGGCUUCUAGGAGCCGUUGAAGCCAUUGGGGCAUGGGAUAUAACGAGAAAUAAGACCUGUGAAGAUUAUUCUCUCAGGAAUGCACACAGUGCAUUGCACAAGGCAGAAUCAGAGUCAGACAAGUUGUACUGGAGGCCGUGACUGAACCUCAGGGGAGUUGGAAUGGAUGACUCUAAGGGCAAUGGAAAGAGGGCUAAGAUUAGAGACUCUCACAGUCAGACUCCCUGGAAAGCGGUUCUGAGAC
rnacentral:lncRNA from 10 species